UCUGGUUUUUGCGGGCCCUGGGAGGAAGUGUUUAUUGGCUCCUGAGUCACCAGCCCCUGCCACCUGCUGGCCUCUCCCCACAAGUGUCCCCCUUUCCAUGUUGCUUCCCCUUUGACCCUAGGAUUUCUGCUCUCUGUCUGUUCUCUGGGUGGCGCAGCCAAUCAGCUUGUGAGAUCAGAGACGUUGAGAGGCGCCCGCAGAAGCUGAGGUUGCGUUGAAGCUGAGGCUGGCAGGCAGUGGACACCCCAGCAUCUCAAAGACAGAAGCAGGGACAGUGUCGCUUUUCUGUCUCAGCCACUGCCAAUGCCUGGUCCCGAGUAGAGGCUGGAGGACGAUGCACCUAAGUCUAGUGUCAGCUUUUCAUGUCACCCCGGUGGGGGCCUGUGCCUGGGAGACG
rnacentral:lncRNA from 1 species